GUGCUCGCUUUGGCAGCACAUACACUAAAACUGGAAUGAUGCAGAGAAGAUUCCCAUGGCCCCUGUGCAAAGAAUGCAUUCCUAUGAGGUAUGAGGACCAUCACAUA
ensembl:snRNA U6 U6 spliceosomal RNA